GGCCAUAUCAAGUUGAAACACUGGUUUUCAUACGAUCCUUGAAGUUAAGCAACGUCAGUCCUGGUUAGUACCUAGAUGGGUGACGACUUGGAAUAC